rnacentral:rRNA from 1 species
UACGAAGGGGGCUAGCGAUGUUCGGAAUUACUGGGCGUAAAGCGCACGUAGGCGGAUCUGUAAGUUGGGGGUGAAAUCCCGGGGCCUAACCCCGGAAUUGCCUUCAAAACUGCUGGUCUGGAGGUCAGGAGAGGCGAGCGGAAUUCCGAGUGUAGAGGUGAAAUUCGUAGAUAUUCGGAGGAAAACCAGUGGCGAAGGCGGCUCGCUGGACUGAUACUGACGCUGAGUUGCGAAAGCGUGGGGAGCAAACAGG